rnacentral:tRNA from 1 species
GAGGGUAUAGCUCAAGUGGUAGAGUGCAUUCUUAGCAUGUAUGAGGUUCUGGGUUCAAUCCCCAGUACCUCUC